rnacentral:lncRNA from 1 species
UGCUCCAGUCUCGACUUUCAUUAACUCCAAUUUUUUUCCUGUACCUAACUCUCGAAUCAAAAUGAAUUGUAGAAGUCCAAGCUCUAUGAUGCUCACAACUUCUUCAUCCAUGGUGAUGGAUGCAGAUAGACUCAGCUCUUCGACUAGCUGCAUCAUGCAAGCAAAGUUGAAGCACGGGGCAGGUACCUGCCUCCCAAAACUAAGAUAUUCACAAGUAUUCACGACAAAACCCAUGAAUUUUUGUAAUUUACCUAUAGCAAAACGGACCAGCAGCAACUGCAAUGACAUUGUUUUCACUGGCCCACUGCUGCAUGUGGCCAGGUGGCCUGGUCUACACGCUGCUGU